rnacentral:rRNA from 1 species
GACGAACGCUGGCGGCGUGCCUAAUACAUGCAAGUCGAGCGGACGAAUCGAAAGCUUGCUUUUGAUUCGUUAGCGGCGGACGGGUGAGUAACACGUGGGCAACCUGCCCUGUAGACGGGGAUAACACCGAGAAAUCGGUGCUAAUACCGGAUAACACGAAAUGUCGCAUGACGUUUCGUUGAAAGACGGCGCAAGCUGUCGCUACAGGAUGGGCCCGCGGCGCAUUAGCUAGUUGGUGAGGUAACGGCUCACCAAGGCGACGAUGCGUAGCCGACCUGAGAGGGUGAACGGCCACACUGGGACUGAGACACGGCCCAGACUCCUACGGGAGGCAGCAGUAGGGAAUCUUCCGCAAUGGACGAAAGUCUGACGGAGCAACGCCGCGUGAGCGAAGAAGGCCUUCGGGUCGUAAAGCUCUGUUGUUAGGGAAGAACAAGUAACGCAGUAACUGGCGUUACCGUGACGGUACCUAACGAGAAAGCCACGGCUAACUACGUG